AUUGAACGCUGGCGGCAGGCCUAACACAUGCAAGUCGAACGAGUGGCGGACGGGUGAGUAGUGUCUGGGACACUGCCUGAUGGAGGGGGAUAACUACUGGAAACGGUAUCUAAUACCGCAUACCAUCGGAUGUGCACAGAUGGGAUUAGCUAGUAGGUGGGGUAACGGCUCACAGAGGAGACGAUCCCUAGCUGGUCUGAGAGGAUGACAAGCCACACUGGGACGGAGACACGGCCCAGACUCCGACGGGAGGCAGCAGUGGGGAAUAUUGCACAAUGGGCGCAAGCCUGAUGCAGCCAUGCCGCGUGUAUGAAGAAGGCCUUCGGGUUGUAAAGUACUUUCAGCGGGGAGGCGUUACCCGCAGAAGAAGCACCGGCUAACUCCGUGCCAGCAGCCGCGGUAAUUC
rnacentral:rRNA from 1 species